rnacentral:sRNA from 1 species
CACUCGAAGAGAAAAAAGGCCCCGCUGGAGAGCGGGAUGAGGAAAAGUGU